UGGGGAAUUUUGGACAAUGGGCGAAAGCCUGAUCCAGCAAUGCCGCGUGUGUGAAGAAGGCCUUCGGGUUGUAAAGCACUUUUGUCCGGAAAGAAAUCCUUGGCUCUAAUACAGUCGGGGGAUGACGGUACCGGAAGAAUAAGCACCGGCUAACUACGUGCCAGCAGCCGCGGUAAUACGUAGGGUGCAAGCGUUAAUCGGAAUUACUGGGCGUAAAGCGUGCGCAGGCGGUUUGCUAAGACCGAUGUGAAAUCCCCGGGCUCAACCUGGGAACUGCAUUGGUGACUGGCAGGCUAGAGCAUGGCAGAGGGGGGUAGAAUUCCACGUGUAGCAGUGAAAUGCGUAGAGAUGUGGAGGAAUACCGAUGGCGAAGGCAGCCCCCUGGGCCAAUACUGACGCUCAUGCACGAAAGCGUGGGGAGCAAACAGGAUUAGAUACCCUGGUAGUCCACGCCCUAAACGAUGUNAACUAGUUGUGGGGAUUCAUUUCCUAGUAACGUAGCUAACGCGUGAAGUUGACCGCCUGGGGAGUACGGUCGCAAGAUUAAAACUCAAAUAAUUGACGGGGUCAUAGCUGUUUCCUG
rnacentral:rRNA from 1 species